rnacentral:lncRNA from 10 species
UGCACUUCCCCUAUUUCACGUGGUGCUGGUGGGACUGCCAAUCACAGCGCCUUCUUCAGCCUCCUGGUCACAUGAAUGGGACCUGGCCAAUCACAAAACUCCAUUCUCCGACCUCCAAUGAUUGAGAAGACCGCAGGACCAAAGCAGGACCAAUCAGAGCCUUCCAUGGAUGCUAGGCUAAUAGGAACCCUGAGAAGGAGGUUAUGUUCUUUCUCCAGGAUGGUGGAUUAUUAGGGUCAUGGAGCCUGACGCUGCCAGAACUUUUUUUCCCACCUCAUGGAAAGAAGAACUUCCUGGAAGGAAGGCAGGACUGAGAGUUGGAAUGAAAAUGACAGAGCCCUGUCCACACCGUUAAAGUACUCAAAUCCAGAUUUCACAGAUGUCAACACUGCGGUAUUUACUUGGGACCUUCAGUAUGAAGAAAAUCUCCUAGUUCUACAAAUUGAGGACUAUGAUACAACGGUUGCAAAAAUGGUGUCUCCUUGAGGGUGCAUCUUUGUUCUCUCUGCACUCCAGAAAACCUGGAGAGAGGCUCUGGGUGUCUUGUCUUCAUCAGCAGCAUAGCGGCUAAAGGGGUCUCUGGAGCCUGGAUGGUUGGGUGUGACUCCUGGCUUUGCCACUGGCUCUCUGUGCUUACUUAACUUCCCUGUGUUUCAAUUUCCUUAUAUGGACAACGAGUCUAAUGUUACCACAUGCAAUAUUUUUGUAAACACUAAAUUUGUUCAUCUUGAAUUCUGCUUAGACUUGAUGAGUGCUUUAAAAGUCAUCCGCUGUUAUUAGUAAUUACAAGAGAGCUGAUUCAGAAAGUUGGAAGUAACUUGCACCAGAUUAAGUGGAUUUAAUCAUGAACACUAUCCCCAUGGGCAAUCCCAGAAUCCUCCCAGCCCGCAGGAUAAUUAAAGUCAGGCUCUCGAUGGAAACCUCUCCUGCCUGUCUUCCUCCGUGUGAGAGAGUUGAAAUUGUCAAGAUGGGAGGCUGCAGGAAGGGGACGUGCGUCACAGACAGGCGGCAGGAACCCUCCUGCGUUCCUAUUUUACAGACAGGGAUGCAGCCUGGAGCUCCUGCCUGGGCGUGGCGGCCACAGGGCGCAGUGGGAAGUCCCAUGCUCUGGUUAGAUGUGAGUUCUCUUCCCAAAUCCCCAGCCUUCCCCGACUCCGCUCAAUAAAAGCUCCUUGGCCUGGCGCGAUGGCUCACGCCUGUAAUCCCAGCACUUUGAGAGGCCAGGUGGGUCACGGGGUUAGGGGUUCAAGACCAGCCUGCCCAAGAUGGUGAAACCCCGUCUCUACUAAAAAUACAAAAAUUAGCCGGGCCUGGUGGUGCGCACCUGUAAUCCCAGCUACUCGGGAGGCUGAAGCGGGAGAAUCGCUUGAACCUGGGAGGCGGGGGUUGCAGUGAGCCGAGAUCGCGCCACUGCACUCCAGCCUCGGCGACAGAAUAAGACUCCGUCUCAAA